rnacentral:rRNA from 1 species
CUCGAGCGAAAAGAAGGGCAUUUGGUGGAUGCCUUGGUACCGAGAGGCGAUGAAGGACGUGGCACCCUGCGAAAAGCUUCGGGGAGGGGGGAGCACCCUAUGAUCCGAAGAUCUCCGAAUGGGGCAACCCACCGCGCGAGCGGUAUCGGCCCGUUAAGGGUCGAGGCGAACCCGGCGAAUUGAAACAUCUCAGUAGCCGGAGGAAAGGACAUCAACAGAGACUCCCCUAGUAGUGGCGAGCGAACGGGGACCAGGCCAGUGGCGUGCGGAUUAGAACCGGAACCGUCUGGAAAGGCGGGCCAGAGCGGGUGAUAGCCCCGUACGGGUAGAAGGUUCGUGCGUCCUUGAGUAGGGCGGGACACGUGUAAUCCUGUCUGAACAUGGGGGGACCACCCUCCAAGCCUAAGUACUCCUCGGUAACCGAUAGUGCACCAGUACCGUGAGGGAAAGGUGAAAAGCACCCCGACGAGGGGAGUGAAAGAGACCUGAAACCGAAUGCCUACAAGCAGUGGGAGCGGGAGUGAUCCCGUGACCGCGUACCUUUUGUAUAAUGGGUCAGCGAGUUGAUCUUGCGAGCAAGCUUAAGCCGUUAGGUGUAGGCGCAGCGAAAGCGAGUCUGAACAGGGCGUUCAGUUCGUAGGAUCAGACCCGAAGCCGGGUGAUCUAGCCAUGGGCAGGUUGAAAGUGGGGUAACACCCACUGGAGGACCGAACUCACGUCUGUUGAAAAAGACGGGGAUGACCUGUGGUUAGGGGUGAAAGGCCAAUCAAACCCGGCGAUAGCUGGUUCUCCGCGAAAGCUAUUGAGGUAGCGCGUCGCGUAUCGCCGUCGGGGGUAGAGCACUGGAUGGACUAGGGGGGCCCACAGCCCUACCAAAUCCAACCAAACUCCGAAUACCGACGAGCGUCAGCGCGGCAGACAGACGGUGGGUGCUAAGAUUCAUCGUCAAGAGGGAAACAGCCCAGACCGCCAGCUAAGGUCCCCAAGUCGUGGCUAAGUGGGAAAGGAUGUGGGAAGGCCAAGACAACCAGGAGGUUGGCUUAGAAGCAGCCAUCCUUUAAAGAAAGCGUAAUAGCUCACUGGUCUAGUUAAGCCGUCCUGCGCCGAAAAUGUAACGGGGCUCAAGCCACGCACCGAAGCUGCGGACUCGAAAGAGUGGUAGCGGAGCGUUCCGUAAGCCUGCGAAGGUGGUCCGUGAGGACUGCUGGAGGUAUCGGAAGUGAGAAUGCUGACAUGAGUAGCGACAAAGCGGGUGAGAAACCCGCUCGCCGCAAGUCCAAGGGUUCCUGCGCAAGGCUAAUCCGCGCAGGGUGAGCCGGCCCCCUAAGGUGAGGGCGAAAGCCGUAGCCGAUGGGAACUGGGGUUAACAAUCCCCGGCCUGCCGUGAGUGACGAACGCAAAGUGUUGUCGGGGCUUAUCGGAUUGUCCCGGCGGCUGGCGCGUUCCAGGAAAGAGCUCCGGCGUUAAGACCGUACCCGAAACCGACACAGGUGGACUGGUAGAGCAUACCGAGGCGCUUGAGAGAACGGUGUUGAAGGAACUCGGCAAAUUGCCCGCGUAACUUCGGAAGAAGCGGGCCCCGUUCCUGGGCAACCAGGGGCGGGGGGCACAGACCAGGGGGUGGCGACUGUUUACUAAAAACACAGGACUCUGCAAAGCCGCAAGGCGACGUAUAGGGUCUGACGCCUGCCCGGUGCCGGAAGGUUAAGAGGAGGGGUGCAAGCUCUGAAUCGAAGCCCCGGUAAACGGCGGCCGUAACUAUAACGGUCCUAAGGUAGCGAAAUUCCUUGUCGGGUAAGUUCCGACCUGCACGAAUGGCGUAACGACUUCCCCACUGUCUCCAACACCGGCUCAGCGAAAUUGAAUUCUCCGUGAAGAUGCGGAGUACCCGCGGUCAGACGGAAAGACCCCGUGCACCUUUACUACAGCUUUGCAGUGGUACUAGGGAUUAGAUGUGUAGGAUAGGUGGGAGGCUGCGAGACGAUGCCGCCAGGUGUCGUGGAGCCACCCUUGAAAUACCACCCUUCCGGUCUCUGGUAUCUAACCGCGCCGUGUCAUCCACGGCCGGGACCCUGCAUGGCGGGUAGUUUGACUGGGGCGGUCGCCUCCCAAAGAGUAACGGAGGCGCGCGAUGGUGGGCUCAAGCUGGUCGGACAUCAGCUGUCGAGUGCAAUGGCACAAGCCCGCCUGACUGCGAGACUGACACGUCGAGCAGAGACGAAAGUCGGCCAUAGUGAUCCGGUGGUCCCGCGUGGAAGGGCCAUCGCUCAACGGAUAAAAGGUACGCCGGGGAUAACAGGCUGAUCUCCCCAAGAGUCCACAUCGACGGGGAGGUUUGGCACCUCGAUGUCGGCUCAUCACAUCCUGGGGCUGGAGCAGGUCCCAAGGGGUUCGGCUGUUCGCCGUUUAAAGAGGUACGUGAGCUGGGUUUAGAACGUCGUGAGACAGUUCGGUCCCUAUCUGCCGUGGGUGUACGAGACUUGAGAGGAGCUGCCCCUAGUACGAGAGGACCGGGGUGGACGAACCUCUGGUGGACCGGUUGUCGCGCCAGCGGCACAGCCGGGUAGCUAAGUUCGGACGAGAUAACCGCUGAAAGCAUCUAAGCGGGAAACUCCCCUCAAAACCAGGUCUCGCAUGAGAGCCGUGCAAGACCAGCACGUCGAUAGGCCGGAUGUGGACGCGCAGCAAUGCGUGCAGCUAACCGGUCCUAAUCGCUCGAUCGCGCUCGAAAA